GAUAGUACCUUACUACUUGGAUACCCGUAGUAAUUCUAGAGCUAAUACAUGCAUCAACGCCCAAUCGGGCCGCGUUUAUUAGAUAGAAACCCAUAUUUUUGGUGAAUCAUAAUAACUGUGCGAAUCGCAUGGGUUUACCCCGGCGAUGAAUCAAUCAAGUUUCUGCCCUAUCAGCUUUCGAUGGUAGGGUAUUGGCCUACCAUGGCGUUAACGGGUAACGGAGAAUUAGGGUUCGAUUCCGGAGAGGGAGCCUGAGAAACGGCUACCACAUCCAAGGAAGGCAGCAGGCGCGUAAAUUACCCAAUCCUGACACAGGGAGGUAGUGACAAUAAAUAACAAUGCCGGGCUUUUUCAAGUCUGGCAAUUGGAAUGAGAACAAUUUAAAUCCCUUAACGAGGAUCAAUUGGAGGGCAAGUCUGGUGCCAGCAGCCGCGGUAAUUCCAGCUCCAAUAGCGUAUAUUAAUGUUGUUGCAGUUAAAAAGCUCGUAGUUGGAUUUCUGGUGGGAGUGGCCGGUCCGCCGUAAGGUGUGUACUUGGUUGUCUCCUGUCAUCCUUGUGGGAACUGCUCUGGCAUUAAGUUGUCGGGGUUGGGGAACACAUCGUUUACUGUGAAAAAAUUAGAGUGUUUAAAGCAGGCUUAUGCCGUUGAAUACAUUAGCAUGGAAUAAUAAGAUAGGACUUUGGCGUCUAUUUUGUUGGUUUGCACACCAAAGUAAUGAUUAAUAGGGAUAGUUGGGGGUAUUCGUAUUUAAUUGUCAGAGGUGAAAUUCUUGGAUUUAUGAAAGACGAACUUCUGCGAAAGCAUUUACCAAAGAUGUUUUCAUUAAUCAAGAACGAAAGUUAGGGGAUCGAAGAUGAUUAGAUACCAUCGUAGUCUUAACCAUAAACUAUGCCGACUAGGGAUUGGCGGUCGUUCAUUUAUGACUCCGUCAGCACCUUAUGAGAAAUCAAAGUCUUUGGUUC
rnacentral:rRNA from 1 species